CCAGGCAGGUGAGCGAUGACCUCACAGAGCGAGCAACAACGUUCGGGCUCAUCCUGGAUGAAGUGUCCCUGACACAUCUGACCUUCAGGAAGGAGUUCACAGAGGCGGUGGAAGCCAAACAGGUGGCUCAGCAGGAAGCUGAGAGAGCCAGAUUUGUAGUGGAAAAGGCUGAGCAGCAGAAGAAGGCGGCCAUCAUCUCUGCUGAGGGGAACUUCAAGGCAGCCGAGCUGAUCGCCAACUCGCUGGCCACCGCCGGGGAUGGCCUGAUUGGGCUGUGAAAGCUGGAAGCUGCUGAGGACAUUGCUUACCAGCUCUCCCAUCUCGGAACAUCACCUACCUGCCAGCAGGGCAGUCCGUGCUCCUCCAGCUCCCCCAGUAAGGCCAACCAGGCCACGCCCUCCAUCGCUCUGAAUGACGCCUUCCUUGUGCCCCACCCCAGAAAUCACUGUGAAAUUUAAUGAUUGGCUUAACAUGAAGGAAAUAAAGGUAAAAUCACUUCAGAUCUCU
rnacentral:lncRNA from 1 species